UAUCUAUCAAUAAUGGGACUUGAUUCUCCUCUUCUACCGCAACACCACUUGGAACCCAUCUCGCUUCGAUAAUCGGAGCUACCCCUUGAACCACUGUACGACUUGAUUCUCCAAUUUCUGUACUACUUGAUUCUGUGCCAAUAAAUUUCAUUCUCUCUGCAAAGGUACUGACACUAGUAUAGGGUUUUCCUCUUCUGACGGUGGUUGACGCAAUGUGUGCGCGAUGACAGCAUACACAUAAUUUGAACAAAGCAAGGAUGUAAACUUCUCCAAUUUGAACUUGGCUCCUAUCUCCGCAUGAAUACGAGUAGCUACAUAAGCCUCCCAGUUGAACACCAUCCCUUCAAACGCCCCUACUGCUACAUACAAUAAUCGUUUUGAUAUAUAUGUGGGAUGUCGGUACAAUCCUAACCGCCUCAGCACGAACUGCAACCAUUUCAUAUAUUCUGAUGUAAUCACCUCUUGAGUCCGCUAUCCUUAGCUCCUUUCAAAGGAUGACAUUCUUCCCUUGAAAUAUCUACCUGGGCUGAAAUCGGUUGACUCAUAAGUCCCUACUGCCAUCUCUCCAAUGGGAAGAAACAAGACCUUUUCCAGGAUUGUUUCAUCAAUCCCAAUAAUUCGCCCUUGAACGACACUCGAUCCAUCCUCGGGGUCAUAAUUCUUAAUGUAUUCCUCCACUAAUGACACAUUGAUUGAUGGUAAACGCUCUGAAUGGUGCAAAAAUUGGAACAGCUUUGCAGUCCAAAAAUCCCUUAUUUUUCUCUACGUCCAACAGAUUUCUAACUUCAUCGGCUCCAUAUUGCUAACGAUUAUCACAGCCAGUGGUUUUGCUGUGCGUUAAGCUCCCACAUUUUGGCCACUUUCAUCUCUGUCUACAGCUCUCUUAGUACUUUCAAUCACCAUGACUCAUACGCUUACAAGUCCUAACCAUCAAUGCGACUCUCCAGUAUGCCCGAAACACUAAAAUGAAACACAAAUAAGCAACAACAGAGUAUAACACCACAGAAUAAUCCUUAAUAACAGCUCCACUCCUAUUCUAUUACCUAGUGAUGAGAACGACAACAUGGUACCCAUACUGUCCAUUUCUCACUUUCUUCGCAUCU
rnacentral:lncRNA from 1 species